UACAGAGGGUGCAAGCGUUAAUCGGAAUUACUGGGCGUAAAGCGUGCGUAGACGGUUACAUAAGUCGGGUGUGAAAGCCCCGGGCUCAACCUGGGAAUUGCAUUCGAGACUGCGUAGCUAGGGUGCGGAAGAGGGAAGCGGAAUUUCCGGUGUAGCGGUGAAAUGCGUAGAUAUCGGGAGGAACACCAGUGGCGAAGGCGACUACCUGGCCUGUUCUUGACGCUGAGGCGCGAAAGCUAGGGAAGCAAACGGG
rnacentral:rRNA from 1 species